rnacentral:rRNA from 1 species
UACGGAGGGUGCAAGCGUUAAUCGGAAUUACUGGGCGUAAAGAGUACGUAGGCGGCUUUACAAGUCGGGUGUGAAAGCCCUGAGCUUAACUCAGGAACUGCAUUCGAUACUGCCAAGCUUGAGUACUAGAGAGGGAAGUGGAAUUCCUGGUGUAGCGGUGAAAUGCGUAGAUAUCAGGAGGAACACCGGUGGCGAAAGCGGCUACCUGGCCUGGUUUUGACGCUGAGGCUCGAAAGCGUGGGGAGCAAACAGG